GACGAACGCUGGCGACGUGCUUAACACAUGCAAGUCGAACGGAAAGGCCCUGCUUUUGUGGGGUGCUCGAGUGGCGAACGGGUGAGUAACACGUGAGUAACCUGUCCUUGACUUUGGGUUAACUUCAGGCAACUGGGGCUCAUACCGGAUAGGAGCUACUGCUGCAUGGUGGGGGCUGGAAAGUUUCGGCGGUUGGGGAUGGACUGGCGGCGCAUCAGCUUGGUGGUGGGGUAGUGGCUUACCAUGGCUUGGAGGGGUAGCCUGCCUGCGAGGGUGACCGGCCACACUGGGACUGAGAUGCGGCCCAGACUCCUACGGGAGGCAGCAGAGGGGAAUAUUGCACUAUGGGCGGAAGCCUGAUGCAGCAACGCCGCGUGCGGGAAGACAGCCUUCGGGUUGUAAACCGCUUUCGCCUUUGACGAAGCGAUAGUGACGGUAAUUGGUAAAUAAGCACCGGCUAACUACGUG
rnacentral:rRNA from 1 species